GCCGCCGCGCUCGCCUGACCUGCGUGCCCCGCUGGCCGCUCCGGGCUGCCCCGAAGGAUGUCCGCCCAGUCCAAGGGGACCGCAUCCUCCUCCUCCUCGCCGUCCGAGGGGCCGCCGGCAGCCUCCAAAACCAAGGUGAAGGAGCAGAUCAAGAUCAUCGUGGAGGAUUUGGAAUUAGUCCUGGGGGACCUGAAAGAUGUCGCCAAGGAACUUAAGGAGGUGGUUGACCAGAUUGACACGCUGACAUGUGAUCUGCAGCUGGAGGAUGAGAUGACAGACAGCUCCAAAACAGACACCCUGAACAGCAGCUCCAGCAGCACAACGGCCUCCAGCUUGGAGAAGGUGAAGGUGCGGGGCAGCGCGCCGCUCAUCAAGCCGCCCGCGCACCCGUCCGCCAUCCUCACCGUGCUGCGCAAGCCCAACCCGCCGCCUCCUCCGCCUCGCCUGACGCCUGUCAGGUGCGAUGAGCCCCCCAGGCUGCCUCCCUUGGCCAACCCGCUCAAGACCAAUGGCACCCUGCUGCGGAACGGGGGCCUGCCCGCAGCACCAGGCCGCGUCCCCAACGGAGAUGUGUGCUGUGUGCCCAGCAGCGGCCUGGAGAAGGUGGUGAUGCCGCCACUGGCACACAGGGCGGAGAAGGAGCGGUGUGCCCAGGCCGGAGCCAGGGAGCGAGUGCGGUUCAGCGAGAAGGUGCAGUACCACGGCUACUGCCCCGACUGUGACGUUCGCUACAACAUCAAAAACAGGGAGGUGCACUUGCACGGCGAGCCGUCCCGGGCUGCGGGAAAGCUGCCACACCAGUGCCCUCCUCUGCCGCCUCCUCCACCUCCCCUGCCUCCGUUUCUUCUGGAAAAUGGAGGGUUGGGGAUAAGUCCCAGUAAUAGCUUUCCACCUCCAAGACCUGCAACUGUGCCUCCACAAACUGCGCCAAAACCCCAGAAGACCAUCUUGAGGAAAUCAACCACUACAACAGUGUGAAGUAUGCCCCUUGUAAUAACUCUUUGUUUUUUCCUAUAUAUAAACAUAAAUAGGUAAUGAGCACUUUCUACUUGAGCAAUAAAAAGACCCAAUGUAUUACACCCUGUGUCCAGUGAAGUGGCAUAGAAAUCACAUGGUUCUACACCAGAAGCUGACUUCUCACAAGCUACAGAGGAGCACCUUCAGGCUUGAAGGAAUAUCUGUAUUUGGAGGCACAUCAAUUAAUUUGCGUAUCAGAUUCAUCAUUGUGACUUCUUGCAGGCCAGAUCUGAGAAGUAACCAGGAAACCUGACCCUUAGUGGAGAAUGGAAGAACCCUUGAAGUCAGAGCACAACUGAGCACUAGUGUAAUCUGCAUUGAAUCAUCUUUCUCAGAUCUGACAGCUACAAGCUGAGUCCUGGCAACAGCCACAGCCUUAAAUUCCAUUCAGUGGGAAAGAAGGAUAAGAGAACUCAAUGUUUUGCCCCGUUGCAGAAACUGCUGUUUCCAGGCCUAACACCUGAGUCCUGUGCUGAGCAACGAGAGUACCAAACAAGGAGGUUUUUAUGGGUACAGCCAGCAUCAACAAAUAUCUCAAUAUGUAGCCAAAAGGAAAAAGGAAGCACUUAGUAAUUUCAGAAAAUGGAUGCAUUUAUUGUAACAGAGAAAUGUUACUGUCUGUGGGGAAGAAGACCUCUGUCGUCCCUUGUAUAUAUUCAAAGCCAUACAGGAACAGGGCAUAAGUGAAGUCACUUAAAAGGAUGCUGUCUCCUGUCCUCCACCCAACUUUGAGGAAGUUCCACUCUUAGAGAUUGCAUCUCGAUGCACUUCUAUUAUUUGCACUGUCACUUCCAUUCAGGGUAAUGAUGUGUGCCACCAUUUGCACAGAUGGCCCCAGGAGAUUUUUGACCACAACAAGCUAUACUUUGCCAGGGCUCCAAAUGGAAUUAAAAAGUUAGAACUGAAGAAAGACAUUUAUGCUCUCUUUCACUAUGGGGAUCUCUUCACAGAAAGGAUUAUGGUCCUUUCUUAGGAUGAAAUAAAUACAUGCAUAUACAUACAUAUAUACAUAUGUAUAUAUAUGAAAAAGCAGCAACAUGAUAAGGUGUAUUUAAAAAGGGGAUAUAAUCUUUUUUAAUAGCAUCCAUUUUUUUUAUCAUAUUAGCAGCCGAGAAAUUUAAGCUAUUGAAUUAUACAUCCAAAAAUGUUCCUGUUGAACAUUGACAUUUAGUCCCAGUUACUGCUAAAGAAGUCAUUUGUAAUAUGUACUUGACAUAAAAUUUUUCUAGCCAUUUGUCUAUACUUCAUGGAGAAAUCUAACAGACAAGCAACAUUUUCAGUUUAUUUUUCUAAAUAAAUGUGUUGUUUGUAUUA